CUCUCUCUCUCUCUCUCUGAAGAACAAAUAAACUUAAAAAAUUUUUAAAAACUACUGGUAUAGUAAACAUGAUAUAUACAUGGUACACUGGAAAGUACUUGUGCUAGUUUACUAAGGCUGCCUAAGCAAAAUGCCAAACACUGAGUGGCUUAAACAAUAGAAAUUUAUUGUCUCUUGUUCUGGAGGCCGGAAGUCCAAGAUCAAGUCGCCGAUAGGGCAAUGCCCCUCUGAAGGGUCUAGGGAUAACCCAUUCCAGGUCUCUCUCCCAGCCUCUGGUAGUUAUGCAGGCUUGUGUUGGCAUAACUCCUAUCUUCACGUGCUGCUUUCCCUGUGUUUGUGUGUGUGUCCACGUUUCCCUUUUAGGACACCAGUCCUACGGGAUUAAAGUCCACCCUAAUGACCUCAUUUUAACUUGAUCACCUCUGUCAAGGAUCCUUCUGUAAAUAAGGCUACAUCGACAGGUACUGGGAGUUAGGACUCCAAGCAUAUUUUGGGUGGGGGCACCAUUCAACCCACAAUAGUAGUCAAGCACGGAUUUUCAUUCUGUUCUGUUCCUCCUUAACUGUGUGGCCUUAAGUUGACACUUAACAGCCUCCGUUCUAAGUCCAAAAAAAUAAGGGGGUUGAACCAUGGAAUCUGUGAGAUUUUCUCUCUCAAAUUCUAGGACUUCACAAAUACUGUUUCUGACCUUUCCACUAGUGGGGUCAAUCUCUAAUUUUUUUUUUAAUGGUUUCUUUAUGUAUAAGGGAAGCUGGUUAGAAUUGGCUUGUUAAUAGCAGUAGCUACUUUUUUUAAAAAAGAAAUUACAGUAUGCCAGGAAUUCCAAUAGGAGCUUUACGUAUUUUACUUAACUCUCAAAAAAGUCCCGCAAGAUAUUUAUUCGAAUCUUCAUUUGAUAGUUGAGGUGUCCAAGGUACAAAGAGCUUCCCUCACUGGUUAAAAUUCAUGGUAUUGGCAAGUGGCGGAAUGGGCUAUGAGUCCACAUCUUUAUGAACCUAGAGCUGGUGUUCUUUAUACUUCUCCACCUCUUUGUGAAGAUGAUCGCCCCUUAGACAGGUGGCCUAAGGUCUGACCUUUUGGCACUGAGUUCUUAUGACCCUGAACCCCCAUACAACCUCUGUUCCGUAUCCCAUUCACUCACCGAGAGGCUUAUCUUUCUGCUCCUCUAAGCAUCAGAUGAAGCCAGUUAAGUUGCCUUAUUCUCAAAGGAGAUCCAACCACAAGAGAUCUCUGGGACACCCUUUGGAGGAAUCCAUGGCCCUUCGGUGUGUCUAUAAUUUUUGUGUCCCAGAAAACAUUUGGAUUUGUGAACUGUGGUUAAGAUCAUGGAACUCAUGAAGUUUAAAAGAGGCUCACGUUAGUAUAGAUGAUCCGUAUUUUCUUGCUUUUAGGGGAACUCAGAAACCUUUCUCCUAAUUACUCAUGAACUUGGUUACCAUGUAGCUGCUGCCAUUUUAUUUUUUUAAUGCUGUGAAGCUGCUUCCAUUGCCAUCCAAGAACCCUGGAGGGCCUCUGUACCCCAGGAGUGAGGGCUGUCUCCGUUCCCAGGUCCACUCCCUUGGGUGCCAUCUUCUCUGCUUGAGCUGAUGACACAGUGGAACCCUUAGGGGCCACAGCUGUGUAGUUUUCUGUGGCAAGAAUUCCUCUUUUCAGCUAGACUUGUAAUUCGUGGAAGGUAGCUGAAGCAGUGGUGCCCUUGCCUUAAUGCCUUAGAUAUCUUUAGUGACAGACAGCCCCCAUUUCUGGUUAUGGUCUCUGUACCAUAUGGUCUCUAUACCAGGCUGGGCUGGGCUGGGCUAAAACCAGGUACCAAGGUCUACUCAAGAGUCAUUUCUCACUGAUGACUGAGGGUUGCCUAUUGGGCUGUCUUCUUGCUGGGAAGCUCUUUGGUUGCUCACUAACAUGGGUUCCUGGUGACCCAGCAUCUCUAACCCCCAAUAUUUUACUCAUACUCAGAUGUCCCUCUUGGUGCUGGCAUCCAAGGAUAUUACAAAGGAUGCUAUUAAUUGUUUGGAGGAAGAGGUGAGGCCAUACUGUGAGAUGGCUGUAGCAGUUGGUAAUGGUACUAGAGGUUUUAUUUGGUAAUGUAUGUAGCUGAUGAUCUGGACCAACCCGCUUCUGCUCUAAGCUCAUCUUCUUGUGCAAAGUACGAUUACCUACACAUGUGGUAGUGGAAAACUUUUGAGAAGGAGAUCCCAUGAAUAUGGAGCUACUAAUCAGAUAAGCAAGGAGGAGAAGUCCCAGGAAAGAAGGCGCUGUUCCAUUGUAAACAGAAUUACAGUUUACCUGGAAUCUGUGUGUGAGUUUAUUCGUGGCAUUGGCUCACAAUGUGGGUCCGAGUUCUGUUUAUUACACUUCUUAUACGUUUGUUUGUCUUCCUCCACUUACCUGCUGGCAAGAAUUGUCCAGCUGGGAUUGUAAAGUUUAAUGAGCUUGGUCAGAAGUCGACAUUUUGGUCAAGUAUGAGAAUCUAACUAAUGUGAGAAUGUAACCUAGGAAGGUCUGAGGCUAAAAAUGUGAGAAUCUUUAGUAAAGCAAGAGGUAAGGAUUAGUCUCUCCCACAAGGGUUCUAUAUUCAGCUGGUGUCUGGUGUCUCAGCCCUAUAUCAUGGAUGAUUAUUAUUUAGUGGAGAAAAAGGCUUUUCUAUGGGCACUGCAUAUUCUGGGCCAUAGAAGACCCUUGCACUGAUGUCCGAGGGACUGCAGAGUGCCCAGCUUGUUGCUGGCUCUUUAUUACUGCCUUUGUUCUGUCAAUAAAGUGAUGGGGAAUGUGGGAAUUUUUACAUUGAUUAAGGAAAAGGCUUGGGCCAAGAUCUUUUCCUUUUAGGCAGUCUUGUAAAUUUUGUCUUCAUACACUAGUCAACAAACAUUUAUUUGAAUACUACCAUCUGAAAUCUAACAUCCAUCUGUUGGUGCCCUCUGGUAGCCAGGAAUCGGAGACUCUCCCACAUCCUUUCCCUAAAGUGUGCUCUGGGUUUAGACUGGGGUAGAUCUUACUCACUUCCUUUUCUGCUUCCUAUCUUUCCUCCUCCAAAAGCCACAGGCAUUUUUUUUUUUUUUUACUUAUUUGAUGGGUUACUUUUAGAAAUGUCUUGCACAAGCCAUUUUUUCCCCAGUGGAAAACACUUUUCCAUCAGGAAGAUGCAUUUCAAAGAUUCUGAAGAGUUUAACCACUUUUGUCAGAGCCCUCUUGGAAAGGUGAAAUUGAUAGUUCCAUAAGGUUAAAAAAAAAGGUUGUUUCCCCACUUCCUGUCUGAAAAGGGAUUCUUCUGGUUGAAUACGAUGAUAGGUUGGGUCAAGUGGCCUUCACUGAGGGUGGGCUGGAAUCUGCCCCCGGUUGGUCCUGGAAUCUUGGCCACUUUUAGGGCAGCCUAAGGAUAUGAAAUUGCUCUAGGAUUUGUAUGUGUGUGAGUGUGUGUGUGUGUGCGCUUUACAUGCAGUGGGUCCUUGGCCAGUUGGUGGUGAUGAUGAAUGAUGUUGAUAUAAAUGAAGUUCUAUUUGGUUCAGCUGAAGUUGGCUGCACUUCUCUGGGAAGGUCCCAGGUAACCCUUUCUCCCUGACUUCCCAGGAAUACCUGUUGGAGACCAUGAAUUCCUCUCUAGGGUCACAAUGGCCUGAGUUUAUUAUCCAUUUGGGUCCAAUCAGUCUCUAGGUAUCUCUGUUGGCCUUGGUUCAUGGGUUAGCGGACAUACAGUCAGUGGGUAAUGGGAAUGGAAGCCUUAAACCAUAUACCCUUGUAGGUCUAAUCCAAGACUUUCAUUUUGUUGAUGAGGAGACCAAGGCCCAGUAAGUAGGAGGAACUUGAGUGAAAUUUGGAAUCCAGAUGUUCUGACUCAUGGUUCAAGUCAUUGUCUGCUACUUUGGGGGUCCUCAGAUGGCAAUGAUCUUAAUUGCCGGGUGCUUAUUAACCAUGCAGAUUCCUGGGGCACUUCUCUGAGAUUCUGAUUUUAAUAAAUACUUGUGGUCAACACUGUACACUCAAGAUAUAAUGUGAGCCAUAUAUGUAAUUUAAAUUUUUCUGGUGGUCACACUAUAAAAAUAAAAAGAAACAAGGGGAAUUUUAAGAAUAUAUUUCAUUUAAUCUAAUAUAGCCAAUUUACUGCUGUAACACAUGUAUCUAUAAAGUUAUUAAUGAGUUAUCUGACUUUUUUGCUACUAACUCUUAGAAAUUUGGUGUGUAUUUUACACCUAUAGCAUACCUUAAUUUGGAUGUCACAUUUCAAGUGUGAGAAGCAAGUAGCUAGUGGCUUUCAUAUAGGAUAUGAGAUAUAUAGGGUAUAGGAUGUAGGAUAGUGCCGAUCUAGAAUUGUUCCUUGCCAGUCAUUGGGGCUCUUCAUAAAAGGCAUACCAACAAAAUAAAUAACUCCCCAGGUGCUAGACUCAAGUGUCUAGCAUUCAAAAUCCAAGUACCCCCCACCCCGCCCCAAGCCUUGUUAAACUUUGUGGGCUGCGGCACUUUAGUAGAUGGGAUAUGUUUACACAGAAAAUAUGCAGGAACCCACUGGCUGUCAGAUGACACAGACAUCUUGAGGCCACACGCCUCUCAUGUACCACUGAGCAUGUGAGUUUGCACAUGUAGACUAUUGUGCAAGCGCUGGGAACUGUAUGUGCUGAAGGCACAGGCACCCUGUGAAGUGUUUCAGUGGAAUUUUCAACCAGAAGCAGCUGAUCAUUUUCCAAUUUAAUCUGUGAACACAGUUGGGGGAUUUUUGCACAUGAAUCAACUUGUUUGGCUUGACAGAGCUUCUCUGUACUCUGUCCCUGUCUCAGCCUCACAAAAGGUACUCUGUGUGUAAAUUUGCAGGGGUGGUGGUGGAAGAAGGUGCAUGGAAGUUCAAGGGAAACUUUUCUGAAAAAUGCAACACUGGAGAGCCAGGGUGGAAACGCAGGAGGGGUCCCUAAUCUGACUUUCCACUCUCCCCACCAGAGGUGCUUUUCAAGGGUUGAGGGUGGAAAAGCAUUUGAAAUCCAGCUAAUAAGAUAGAAGCACACAUUUCUGUACAUGUGUUGAUGUAAUUAUUGGUUAAUUAUUUCUGAGGAAUGGUUAUGAAGAUACCAGUGGUAAACCUGGGUCUGGUCAUUCUGUUUCAUCUGCCUUAUGCUUCAUUUUGAUAAAAGAAAAAGUGAGUCAUCAGAAGGAAAUGGGGUAUUUUGUGCAUGGUCUAUACUUCAAAGGCUGUCAUGUUGUGUUGUGUAGCCACUUUGGUGGCAUUGACUUAUGAGGCAUCGUGUGAUGCUGGAGAGUGAAAGAGGGUGAGAACCCAGAGUACAAAAUAAUAAUAGCAAUGUCAUAACAAGAACAACCACCAACAUUUACCAAGCAUUGAUUAUGUCUCAGACCCUUGAUAUGGAUGUGCUCAUUCAAUCCUUGCAAUAACUCUAGAAGUAGGCACUGGUAUUUGUCUUCAUUUUCCAUUGGGGAAAUGGGGGGCACAGAGAGGUUAGCUACUUUGCCCAGGUCAUCUAGCUGGUAAGGAACAGAACUGGGGUUAAACCCAGGUGGACCGUUAGUUCUCACCCAAAAGACCACAACCUGUUACCCUUGAGAUACUCCUUAAAUGUCUUCCCACCACCUUCCCAUCAAAGCAACAAUCUCUUUGACCUUCCAAGCAGGCAGCUGUCUGGCCCCCACUUGAAUGCAUUGAGAAGUGGGAGUUCAUUGUUUUGGUGGAAGCUCAUGCCUUUUAUGAAAAGCCCCAAUGGAUUGGGAAAUUCUUCUUUAUAUGAAAUCUCCCUCCUAUGAUUAGCAAAAUUUGUCUUCCCCCCAGUGUUCUUGCAGACUUCCUGAAGCUGCAAUAAUACAGAAUUACACAUGACGGGACUUAUAUCUCUAUGUCUAUUAAUAUAAUUGGAGAUUAAUUACUUUGGAAGAGUAGUUGUAAGGAUACCAAUUGUUUAAAUCUACAUUUCACUGUUCUUUUUCAUCUGCCUUCUGCCUCAGCCCAUGGAAUGACUUAUUCCAUGACCUGUUACAGAUCUCAGGAGAUCCUGCCUUCAUACCUUUGCUCAUGCUGCCUGGGAGAGCCUCCCUUCCACCUGUUCACAGCCAAGCUCUCUGAGCCUGAGCUCUCUCUGCCAUGAAGUCUUCUUUGAACCAUGAAAGAAGCUGCUGGAUGGAGAUGAAUGAGCUUUUGUUUCUGAAAAGCUGAAUUUUUAUUUCUUAGCUGAUAUAUAUGGAGUCAGAACUCUUCCAUGUUGAAGACUCUGACUGAAGCCCAGGGAAGUUAUUAUGCAAGACAAUCUCCUUCUGACCAGCUUUCUAGAACUUUGAACAGAGCUGAACACAGAGACUUGAAGAAACUUGGUUGGAGGUAGAGUUGCUCCACGCUGACUGAACCCUAAAAGGGCCCUGCUGAGAGCUUGAGAGGAAAACACCAGCACUUUGGGAGAAGCAUCUGAAUAGGUUCACAGUGGGAGCCCACAAAAGAGGAGCUGCGCAGCCCAGGGAGCUGGUGAGAGCACAGAGAUUGCUACCCAGGCUAGUGAACAAACCUCAAGACCAUCAAGGGCGAGGAUCCAGAUCUGGCCGUCAAAACAACAAAUUCCAGAGAAGUUUUGAAAGUGAAGAUCAGCAACGUCUUAUCAUCUGGUUUUGCCCCCAUCUUUAAAACCUAGUAAUUGUACCCCCACAUGGUGUAUGAGGUGGGAUGGCUGUUUGUCCAGCCCAGUCCUGCCAUCGUCUUAUUGAUUUGCUCCACUGUGCUGCUUCCUGGAUCUGAACUCGUCACCUGUUCUCCCUACGUUUAAGGGGCAGCCCAGAGUCUUUAGCUGGUGUUCAAAACCAUCUAAAAAAUGGGUCAGACUUACUCUUGCAGGCUGCUGUCUCCUAUUCCUCCAACAUAACCAGAAUGCUUUUCCUUCUUUGCUCUCAUCCGAUAGAAACUUUGCCCAGACUCAAAUACCCUCUCACAUCUCACCACCUCCAAAAAAGCUUCCCAGAUCACCCAAAAUAGAUGAGACCAUACUGUCUUUUAUAUCUCUGAGGGGUCUCUGGCUUGUCACUUUCAUGACACUCAGUCCAUGCCAUCUAGUGCU